rnacentral:tRNA from 1 species
GGAGCUGUGCCUGAAACAAAGGACCACUUUGAUAGAGUGAAUAAUGAAGGUUAAAGUCCUUCCUGCUCCU